CAGUGGGGAAUAUUGCACAAGUGGGGGAAACCCUGAUGCAGCCAUGCCGCGUGUGUGAAGAAGGCCUUCGGGUUGUAAAGCACUUUCAGUAGGGAGGAAGGUAGUGUAGUUAACACCUGCACUAUUUGACGUUACCUACAGAAGAAGCACCGGCUAACUCCGUGCCAGCAGCCGCGGUAAUACGGAGGGUGCGAGCGUUAAUCGGAAUUUACGUGGGACGUAAAGCGCAUGCAGGCGGCCUGUUAAGUCAGAUGUGAAAGCCCCGGGGCUUAACCUCGGAAUUGCAUUUGAAACUGGCAGGCUAGAGUCUUGUAGAGGGGGUAGAAUUUCAGGUGUAGCGGUGAAAUGCGUAGAGAUCUGAAGGAAUACCAGUGGCGAAGGCGGCCCCCUGGACAAAGACUGACGCUCAGAUGCGAAAGCGUGGGGAGCAAACAGGAUUAGAUACCCUGGUAG
rnacentral:rRNA from 1 species